AGAGUUUGAUCCUGGCUCAGAUUGAACGCUGGCGGCAUGCCUUACACAUGCAAGUCGAACGGCAGCAUGAUCUAGCUUGCUAGAUUGAUGGCGAGUGGCGAACGGGUGAGUAAUACAUCGGAACGUGCCCUGUAGUGGGGGAUAACUAGUCGAAAGAUUAGCUAAUACCGCAUACGACCUGAGGGUGAAAGUGGGGGACCGCAAGGCCUCAUGCUAUAGGAGCGGCCGAUGUCUGAUUAGCUAGUUGGUGGGGUAAAGGCCCACCAAGGCGACGAUCAGUAGCUGGUCUGAGAGGACGAUCAGCCACACUGGGACUGAGACACGGCCCAGACUCCUACGGGAGGCAGCAGUGGGGAAUUUUGGACAAUGGGCGAAAGCCUGAUCCAGCAAUGCCGCGUGUGUGAAGAAGGCCUUCGGGUUGUAAAGCACUUUUGUCCGGAAAGAAAUGGCUCUGGUUAAUACCUGGGGUCGAUGACGGUACCGGAAGAAUAAGGACCGGCUAACUACGUGCCAGCAGCCGCGGUAAUAC
rnacentral:rRNA from 1 species